rnacentral:lncRNA from 1 species
AGCAGUAGCAUCUGAGGAGUGCUUACAAAGUAUGGAAUAGAUUCCAGAUUCACUGAGACCCAGAUCAUUGUUCUAUCAGAUCCUGAGAGCCAGGUAUGCCAAAACUUGCAGAGCUGCCAAGUUCCCAGAUUCAUAGCUGGAGCCUGGAUGCAGGGAGUGAAGGAGAUGAGGAAGUUGUCCCAUUCCUACAGAAUCUGCAAGACCAGACUCCUCAGAACCCUUACUGGAGCCCACUGUUCCCUAGAAUUUUAACCUAG